UUAUAUUGACAUAUUAAUAAUAUGUUGCCUCACUUUACAAACCUAAGCAAAGUAAAUAAGUUGGAAUUGAAUCUAGAUCAUUGAGAAAGAAACCAAAUUGUGCUAAGGGCUUUUUGAUAGAUUCUGAUGGUGGCACUAAGGGAGAGAAGGAACUGCUACUUGAAUAAACCAUGAUAAUUAGUUCUCAAGUGAUUCUUUUUGGGGGAAAAGGGGCGCUGCACAUAGCCUGAUUCACAUGAAGGAACAAAAGCAGAGAAAGCUAUAAUUGACAAUUUCAAAUGUCCGCCUUAGAAGGUAAUAAUUAAGUCUACUUUAUGGGUACUACUAUUUAAGACGUUAGUAUUAAUAUAUCAGAUUUAUCACGAGAUAUUUUAGUUUAAACAACGAGAUUAAACUAUGAUUUGGAAAUUGGAAGCUAGCGUGCAAGGAGGAUGAAGUGAGUUAUAGAUCUAAUUCGAGGUAUGUUGAGGUUUAUUCCCGAGGUCAGGGCUAGAUUAGAAUGCGCAUAUUAAAUUAUGUGAUUUCUUUCAAUAUGUUUCAGAAUAAACUAUAUAUAUGUUUGUAUAAAAUCACUAUAACAGAAAACGAUUAAAAUGUAUGGCGUGUUGCAAUUAUACUGCUUAUGUGCAAUUAUUUGUUUAUGUGCAAUUAUACUGCUUAUAUGCAAUUAUUUGCUUAUUUGCAACUGUUUGUUUUGCUCAACUCUCAAGUUCAUAUUCAGAUAAAAUGUGAUCACAUUCAGAAAGGGAGAAGUAGCCAACCUCCCCGAGCAUGAGUGUCAUAGUGACCAGGAAUAGCUACCCCAUGCUUGCAGGUACAAAAAUAAUUUAUUGGAGAGAUAGGUCGGCACUCCCCCGUAUGUGUUUCCAGAUGCUCACGUACGUAGGGCCAAAUUGUGUGUUGGGGAGAUAGCCGAUACUACCCCGUGCGUGUUCCCAGAUGCUUGAUGUUGGGCAUAUUUCGAUAUGUGUUAAUAUUACUUUACCCAUAUUUUAACCGCUUUUUGAUGCUAUUUGAUCUUUAAAAUGCCCAACAUGGUUUAAUUAUUGGUUUUAUGACUAAUUGAGUUGUGUGUGAUGAAUUAGGGUGUUUGGAGUACAAAAAUAUGAAGAAAAGGUGCUCUAGGUAGAGGAAGAGGGGUUGGAUUUCGUACACCCUUAGCAGUGAAGUCGGCCCAUAGCAUCCGCCACAGCAUCCGCACCUGGGCAAAGCUGAGAAGGAGGAACAAAGGGUGGAUGCGACGCAUCCACCCUAGCAUGCGAAGCUGAGAAGUGGAGGACGAUGUGGAUGUGACGCAUCCACCCCAGUAUUAAUCCCUGUAGCCAAGUCGGAUUAGGAAUAGA
rnacentral:lncRNA from 1 species